UAGGGAAUCUUCCACAAUGGACGCAAGUCUGAUGGAGCAACGCCGCGUGAGUGAAGAAGGUUUUCGGAUCGUAAAGCUCUGUUGUUGGUGAAGAAGGAUAGAGGCAGUAACUGGUCUUUAUUUGACGGUAAUCAACCAGAAAGUCACGGCUAACUACGUGCCAGCAGCCGCGGUAAUACGUAGGUGGUAAGCGUUGUCCGGAUUUAUUGGGCGUAAAGCGAGCGCAGGCGGAAUGAUAAGUCUGAUGUGAAAGCCCACGGCUCAACCGUGGAACUGCAUCGGAAACUGUCAUUCUUGAGUGCAGAAGAGGAGAGUGGAACUCCAUGUGUAGCGGUGGAAUGCGUAGAUAUAUGGAAGAACACCAGUGGCGAAGGCGGCUCUCUGGUCUGCAACUGACGCUGAGGCUCGAAAGCAUGGGUAGCGAACAGGAUUAGAUACCCUGGUAGUCCAUGCCGUAAACGAUGAGCGCUAGGUGUUGGGGGACUUUCCGG
rnacentral:rRNA from 1 species